ACUGAACAAGUUCCCCAGAACCUCAGAGCCAAGAAGAAUCAACGCUUUCUACAAAAUGUUUCCGUUUCUUUUUUAUUUUUUAAAGCAAUGGAAGAGGAAACUUGGUCCUGAGUUGUUGGAGUCCAGACAAAGGCAUAGCGGCAAUUUGGGGGUUUCAGGAAGCCUGAAGACACCAUACAGCUGCUGGUGCACUCACCCUGCAGAAAUACGUGUCCUGAGCUCUGAUAUGUCUUCUGAAAAGAAAUCCAUGAUACAGACCCCACUUUCUGAAAAGAAAGCCAUGAUACAGACCCCACUGGAGACCAACACAGAUAUUGGGCCUUGGUUCUAGGACAGCCAAGUAUGGAAAUGCUGGUCGUGGAGCUACUUGAAGCCGAAGUGAUUCUCUCCUCUCAGGCUCCUUGGAGGCGGGUGCUGCUUAAGGCAUUGAGAGAUUCACAGCAAGGUCUUUAUUGCUGACACUCUUGCAUAAUGACAUAUUUAUUCAUGUGAAAGCACAGGAUGAAUUUCAGCUUUGUGAUAUUGUUUAUGUUUAUCAGAAAUGUUAUUUGUCCUUACAAUGUCUGGUUUCAAUGAAGCGCUAUGUUAUGGUUAUUAAAUAAACAUGGAACUUUUACAUGUUCAUGAUA